UGUGAAUUCAAAUUUUUGAUGGUUUAUAAUUUGUAAGAGGCCACCACACACAAGAAAUCCUGACUUCGUCACUGACUGAAUCAUACUUUCCGAUUAGUGUUUUUUACACUUAAAAUAAUGUUAUUAUUAAACAAUCCCUAGUCUCCCUUUUGAGUAAACCCUAGGCAAAAGGAGAAGAGAGAAAGCCAGCCGAAGGUGAGCACAUGUUCUGAAAAUCCUCUUGAUCCUGUCGAAAAUUCACAGUUUAGUACCGUGAGAGAGAGAGAGAGAGAGAGAGAGAGAGAGAGAGAGAGAGCAAGAAAGCUUUAGAUCUGGGUGCCUUGGCGGACCAUGAUGACUUCUCUCCUUGUUGCAGAUCUGUUCAUCUCUAUUUUGAUAUGGAUGGCUUUGGUUGUGUGAAGCAUCUUAUGGAGCGGCUUUGAUAUGUUGCUACUACUUUAGUCGUUUUUGUUUAGUUUUUUAGUUUUGAUUCCAAAAACUCUUAUGUGUUGUCUGUGAGUUUGUGUCAUGAUUCCCAAAAACUUGUUGAGUUUGCUGGGUUGUCUAGUCUUUCUCGGAGAAUCAUGAAGAUUAGCGGCAAAAUUUUGUUCUUGAUAAAUUGCCUUAAUAUGCAACAAUGAAGGCUAUAGAUAGAUAGGGGUUUUAGGCAAGUAUUUUUUUCGAGUGAUUCUCUUUAUAUCGUUUCAACC
rnacentral:lncRNA from 1 species